rnacentral:rRNA from 1 species
CAGUCGCCGCGGUAAGACAGAGGAUGCAAGCGUUAUCCGGAAUGAUUGGGCGUAAAGCGUGCGUAGGUGGUGGUUUAAGUCCGUUGUGAAAGCCCUGGGCUCAACCUGGGAAUUGCAGUGGAUACUGGGUCACUAGAGUGUGGUAGAGGAUAGUGGAAUUUCCGGUGUAGCAGUGAAAUGCGUAGAGAUUGGAAGGAACAUCUGUGGCGAAGGCGACUAUCUGGGCCAACACUGACACUGAGGCACGAAAGCGUGGGGAGCAAACAGGAUUAGAUACCCCAGUAGUCCCUGUCUCUUAUAA